UUUCCCAGGGACCAGCAUCUACAUAAACCAACGAUAACUACAACCAAAUAAACUAGCAAAAGCCGUCCGAAGAUAUACUAGAGUGAAAUUUGAAGUUAUGUGGAUGCAUACUUAAACUGAUGUACUUCUUGGAGUAAGACGACAAGAAUGGUUUUCUUGCGAAUUCGGAGAAACUAAUAUGCCGCACUCGUCACCCUUCUCGCUUACGAGUUAAGCGCGCGGCUAAAGCUUUCGCACGUAGUUUCUUCGUUGUGUGUGUAGUGAUUUCCAAACUGGGGAAAUAAAAACAUUAUUCUGCUGCGAUCCACACUGCCGUUUAACAGUCGUCGUAUCAAAAUGUACCCAAAGUAUCAAUUUUGAGUCUCUUUAUGAGAUUUUCCAUUUUCUUUGUUUUAUUAAAGAUUAAAUUCCGUACUAGCUAUUCAUCUUAGUUCUGUAUUGUAUAGACGUUAAGAGAAAAACAAACAAUGUAUAUAAUGACCCAUAAUUAAAAUCUGCGCAAGUGAAAGCCACAUAGUUUUAAGAUCAGCCGUUAAGUUGCAAAUCGUCGUCGAACUGAAUAUGUUCCCACGUCGCCCCUUGAGCUCAACGGACACGCCGGAUAUUUCGUAUAAAGUAUGAGUGAGUUACGAGCUUCCUUAAACGGAGAUCUCGAGUAUUUUCGAAGUAUAUAUAUACGUCUUGUAAAACUUCUAUUGCGGUAUGUUGAACAACCAUAUACAUACGUGCGAUAAUAAAAGCCGAUCGGCUAGUAAUUUUUCUUUCACGUUUGCCUUCUUUUUAUAUUAUUAUCCUAUUUUUUUUUAUUCUUUCCAAUUUAAUUUCUUUUACGCCAUAUUCUCUACACCUAAGUCCUAUAUACAUAUACAUAUACAUUUAUAACUAGAUAUAAAUUGUUAUUAUUUCCUCUUUCUUUAUCUGAUUAAGUUGUAUUAAGUUUAUGCAUAUCCAGAAAAUCAUGAAGUCCAAACCCGUAAAUUUUGAAUUAUUAAAUAAUAAUUAGUAGAUAAUAAUGGAACAUUAAA